GAGGGUAUAGCUCAGUGGCAGAAUGCAUGCUUAGCAUGCACAAAGACCUGGGUUCAAUCCCCAGUACCGCCA
rfam:Camelus ferus unplaced genomic scaffold scaffold408, whole genome shotgun sequence.